GUGAACCGAUUGAACUGCUGAGUGGUCUUGAGCUGUCUCUUAUCACAUGCCUCUCCCUGCUGGCUGUUUUGCCUCUUCCUUCAAGAUCAGGAACCAAGUUGCUUCUCCAAAACACUUCUGUCUGUUAGUGAUAGUCCCAUAUGUAUUCACACCUGAAGAUUUCAGUGUUUUCUGAAGACUGCAAUGCAUACCAACAUGAUAUUUACAGCUGCUUGAGACUCUCCACUGGCUGUGGGCAGAAGCAGAGGUUGCAGGACUUCCUCCAUCAAAAUGCUAAUGGGCCAGCAUCAGAGCUGGGACUCCAGGGAAAGAACUGGGCUGUUCAUCUGUGCACCUCCAUCCAUAAUAUCACACAGGAGGCAAUGUCAGCUGGAAGCUAAAAAAUGAAGAGAAAGUCUGCUCUGUUUUCUCAGGAUAACACAGAAGUUGAACUUCAUUGCUCACACCUUGCCUGUUCUCACAGGGGAAGCAAAGGCUUUACAGUGAUCCAGAUACAAGAGGAAAUGCUGAACAGCAAAAUGCAGACAUUUGUGACAUAAAGUUAGAAAAAGUGACCUACAGGUAGAUGUGCUGAACCCUUACACCUUUUACAUGCAAUGUUCACCCCCAAGACAGAUGAUGUCAAUCAAGUCCUGUGCUGUUAUAUGCUUACAGAAAGGUGAGCGCAGGAAAAACAUUUGAAUUUAGAGAAAAAAAUACAUAAAUCAAGAUGGGAAAUAAAGUCCAAUUUGGUGAUGAGGGCUUGCCA
rnacentral:lncRNA from 1 species